CUCUUCUCCUCCAGUCUGCUGCACCUUCCCCGGAUCCUGCCCUCUGAGGAAACCACCUGAGGCUGCCCAAUGAAUCUGGUGACCAUCCAGGCGCUCUUGAACUUUGAGGAGGUGGCUGUGUUUUUCACGGAGGAGGAGUGGGCUCUGCUGGAUCCAGGCCAAAGAGCUCUGCACAAGGAAGUCAUGGAGGAGAAUUAUGAGAUGGUGGCCUCUCUAGGUAAG